CCUACGGGGGGCUGCAGUGGGGAAUAUUGGACAAUGGGGGGAACCCUGAUCCAGCCAUGCCGCGUGUGUGAAGAAGGCCCUCGGGUUGUAAAGCACUUUCAGUGAGGAAGAACGCCUGGUGGUUAAUACCCAUCAGGAAAGACAUCACUCACAGAAGAAGCACCGGCUACACUCCGUGCCAGCAGCCGCGGUAAUACGGAGGGUGCGAGCGUUAAUCGGAAUUACUGGGCGUAAAGCGCGCGUAGGUGGCUUGAUAAGCCGGUUGUGAAAGCCCCGGGCUCAACCUGGGAACGGCAUCCGGAACUGUCAAGCUAGAGUGCAGGAGAGGAAGGUAGAAUUCCCGGUGUAGCGGUGAAAUGCGUAGAGAUCGGGAGGAAUACCAGUGGCGAAGGCGGCCUUCUGGACUGACACUGACACUGAGGUGCGAAAGCGUGGGUAGCAAACAGGAUUAGAUACCCGAGUAGUC
rnacentral:rRNA from 1 species